rnacentral:lncRNA from 1 species
UCAAAUUUCAGAAAUUACAUGCCAAAAAAUCCUAGUCAAAUUCCUUUCUGAAAAUUAUAAUUACAUCGAUUCAUAUUGUCCCUCGCUCAUUCAGUCUACUAUCCACCUUCUUAUGCCCUAAGACCCAUUUUCCUUACUCACAGUUCAAUAGAUCUGGUUAAACAAUACACUUAUCAAUACUAUAAUCAAUUAGUCCCAUAUUUCUUAGCAACACUAACAAUUACUCUAGAACAGAUUGUUGAAUAAGUCACAGGAAUGAUAUUUAUUGUUAACUAGCUAACUUAGUAAUUCUAGGAUUAUAUCUGACAUCUCCUAAUUAUCCCCUAAAUCGGAUCUAACUCCAAUGCACCAAAAAUUAUUAAAAAACAAAAUAUGAUUCGAAUUAAGACAAUAAAUAAAGGAAAGAGGAGUCUACAUGUUAAACAUUAAGUUGUUCUCACCAUGAAUCCAAACCUGCCCGUCUCAUACCUCCCAUUCUCUACCUCUAUUAGUCUAUCUGCGGUCCCCCUCUUUUCAGCUGAGCGAUUGUUCUCUGCCGCAGCAGGUCAUCGGAGAUUCGAUAAGGCUCCCGGUUUGCUCCAGCUUUUUCGCACUCUCUUGGUUUACUCAAAAUCGUGCCUCCCUCUUUCCACGAUUCUUCCUUAUUUUCUAUCUCUCUCUCUAGAUUGUCGCUCUCCCUUAUCUCUCUUAUAUUUCCUUUCUGUCGUUCCCCUCGGCCACGCACGCAGUCAGCACCACCACGCGUUCUCCUUCAGGCCACGCACGAGUCUGCGUUCCUCGCAGAUCUAGUCGCCUACGCUUCUCUUCUUUCUGUCGUUUCCCUGCCCAGAAGGAAGAAGGAGAUUUCCCCUUCUCUGCCAGCUGUCGCAGGCAUUCCUCCUCCCUCACAUGCCCCUCAAUCCCUUAAGGUUCUUUCUGUUGAAAGAGACAAGAAGGGAGAUUUAUAUAUGUGUUUUGGGGGCUGUUUGAUCUCAAUGGUAAAAUUUAAACCGUUGAUUUCUUAUUUCUUUUUAAAUUCCCAUAUUUCCUUUCCCUAUCCAAAUUUUGUAUAGUCCAACCAUCAUCUGUUCCCAUAUUUCCCCCCUAUUAUAAAAAAAAUCACAAUUUAG